AAACAAAUGUCAUGCGAGCACCAAUCAGCUGUUCACAAACCCAAAAGAAAUCAGUUUACGUGGAAGCAAUCAAAUAUUUGCCGAAAAUAGGCGCUGAUGUUUUAACUAAUUACAGUCAUUUUAAUUGUUUCCAGAUUAAAUAUUACACAUUAGAAAUACAGCGCUAUGAUUGAAGUUACAGAUUUACAAAAAAUCGGUAUUGGGCUGGCUGGAUUUGGUGUCUCAUUCCUAUUUUUGGGUGUUCUAUUUCUGUUCGACAAAGGAUUGCUGGCUAUAGGAAACUUGCUCUUCCUAAGUGGUCUGGCAUGUGUAAUUGGAGUUCAACGCACAUUCAGGUUUUUCUUUCAACGGCACAAAGUUAAAGGUACCACAGCAUUUUUUGGCGGAAUUUUUGUGGUUCUGCUGGGAUUUCCAAUGAUCGGAAUGGUUAUUGAGUUAUAUGGAUUCUUUGUGUUAUUCAGCGGAUUUUUCCCCGUGGCGGUAAAUUUCUUGGGGCGAGUACCGGUACUAGGAUCAAUUUUGAAUACUCCAUUGAUCCAAAAGCUGGUACAAAAACUUGGUGGGGACGCGAAUCGAACGACGGUAUAGUAGAACUCCAAACAAACUUUCAACUAAGGAUAAUUUUAAUUUAGUUUAUUCCUCCGUGAAAUUAAACUUAGACCGCGUUUUUGUACAAAAAUACAUACUUCUGGCUGCAGCAAAGGCGAAGGCGAAUGUGGUAUAUGAGCGAGAUAUAUACUCUCUGUCAAUCCACUGCAGUAACCUUUGAAGCGGAAAUUCCAAAAGAUUUCGACGUAAUACUUGAAUGGCUAAAUUAACUAGAUAAAUGCAGAGGCGUAACUACAAAAAGAGAUUAUAAAUAGGCUGAAGAUUUUAUAAAUUUACAUAUAUCUAACUCACAGUCGUAAAUACCACGUAGUAGACUAGUACAGUUGGAAAAAGAAAGAGUAGUGCUGUAAAAAAUAUGGUCGCUAGGUACAGCUGGCGGUUGACGUAGUUAUGCGAUUCGACACGAUCUGCAAGUAAUGUAUGUACAUACAAAUAUAUCAAAUAUUUACCAGGAGGAAUUAAAUAAUACAAAUUUAUGUACUUUUGAGCACAUUGUACCGUUUUCCCAGCAUCACUUUCCAGAGUACUUGAAUGCCCUUGAUUUCCACUUUGUGCAAUCUAUUAAUAAAAUACGAUUAAAAAUAAUGCAACAAAAUAAUAUUUUAUGCUUCACCUGAAGCGAUCAACUUACACUGCUGUGUAUAUAUAAAAGCAAUGUGCAUGUAGACCAAUAAUGGAUAUCAAAAAAGGUAACGAUGAUAAUUGAAAAGAUAAACCGAUAAGACCAAGUAGUGCAAUCGGUACGAAGAGUUGACGCACUAUCGGUUCAAUGAGAUC